GCCAGUUCGUCCCCUGCCCACAUGUAAUGCCCAAAAUUUUGUAUAAAGGAAGGGGGAGAUCUCAGAGUUGGUUAGAGCUCAGCCGUGGGAUAGAGCGCGCAUCACCCGGCACUUUCUCGGGACUUACGUGUUGGUCUCCUGCCAGGACUGAAAAGGGCCCCCCAGUCUAAGAGUGAGGCAUCAGCGGAUCCCAUCCGGCAGAGUUUCUUCCUUCUUGGCAUCAGAAGCAGUCUCACCGAUUGAGAAGGGGGCGAUCAUCUUGGAGCAUCUUUAGUAAUCAACUCAUUUCAACUUGCUGUAGUGGCCAGUGUAAACAGAACCAGACAUGCUCUUGUUUAUUGUGGACUGGCAAAGGUUUUGAACAAAAAUGAUACAUAAUGGAUCAGCUAGAAGCUGUCUGUCUGUCCUGAUGUUACCUCCCUCCAAUUCCAAGUGCACACAACCCGAAUUCCCAGGACAGUGUUGACCUCUGCCUUGUGUGACAGCAUGCUUAGGGCUCACAGCAAAGGGGCCUGUGGAGGUUAAGGGCCAUGCUCAAGGGCCCAUGGACACGUGAUUACUCAACCAACACCAGGCUUGAAUGGGUCACCUUUUGGUUACAGGCACAGAGGCUUUGCCUGCUGAGCCACAAAUCACCCUCUUCAAGUUGCUCUAUGCUAUUUCUAUGGGUAUAUCAGUAAGGGACACAAACCUGUAUUCGUUUCCAUGCAGAGAUGGGUAAAACAAAAGUCCAGACCAAGAUUUUGUUUCAACCAACCAGUUGAGUACUUUUCAUUGAAUCUUUAUGCUCAAAUAGUUGGUUGUAAGAAAAUCUUAGUCUGGACUUUUGCUUUCUGGACCUGCACUACCCAUCUCUGCAUGACCUAAAUUACCAACCAUGCAAGAUGUGACUGUCAUUCUGGAUUCUGUUUCAUUACUGUAAUAAUAUUCAAAGAGAUCUCCAUGAAUGAUUUCGAGCCAGGAAUGUAUGAGUUGGAUUUUUGUUUGACAACAUUGGGGCGAAUGAUGCUGAGCGUCUUCUCUCUUAAGGCUGAUACUGUAUUAUACGCCUGAAAUGAGGUUAAGUUCAGGAACUCCUGCUAUGGUGAGCAACCCUCAUUACUAGAUUGCUCUUCAUUCUUUCAUACUGCAGUCCCUUUCCUUCACACAAGGGAGGUUGCUGUCUCUCUAGAUCAUUUCAUCCAGGGACUUCAGACGACACAUGUAAAUGAGUGACAUUAGCAUACUGCAUCCUCUGCACAAAGGGUGAUGGCGGGUCGCCGAAUGUUAAUAUCACUCCUUAACUAAUGCCAAAGUUAAUUAUGCCCUUGAAUGGACUUUUCGGUCCUGAAUACAAAAGGAUACAACUGACAACUUUUUUUUUUUUAAUAAAUUCCUAUAUAUCUAUACCAUUAUAGCUUAACUACCUUAACAAAUAAAAAUCACCUUUUGUGGUGGUUAUUUCUUUCUUUUAAGAAAUGUAACACCUGAACAGGGAAUGUAGGAGGUGAAAUUCAAAGGGUUGAUUUAUAUUUAUAAAUAUAUUAUCAGGUAAUGUCAUGGUUUU